GACGAACGCUGGCGGCGUGCCUAAUACAUGCAAGUUGAGCGCUGAAGGUUGGUACUUGUACCAACUGGAUGAGCAGCGAACGGGUGAGUAACGCGUGGGGAAUCUGCCUUUGAGCGGGGGACAACAUUUGGAAACGAAUGCUAAUACCGCAUAAAAACUUUAAACACAAGUUUUAAGUUUGAAAGAUGCAAUUGCAUCACUCAAAGAUGAUCCCGCGUUGUAUUAGCUAGUUGGUGAGGUAAAGGCUCACCAAGGCGAUGAUACAUAGCCGACCGGAGAGGGUGAUCGGCCACAUUGGGACUGAGACCCGGCCCAAACUCCUACGGGAGGCAGCAGUAGGGAAUCUUCGGCAAUGGACGAAAGUCUGACCGAGAAACGCCGCGUGAGUGAAGAAGGUUUUCGGAUCGUAAAACUCUGUUGGUAGAGAAGAACGUUGGUGAGAGUGGAAAGCUCAUCAAGUGACGGUAACUACCCAGAAAGGGACGGCUAACUACGUG
rnacentral:rRNA from 1 species